rnacentral:rRNA from 1 species
ACUCGAGUGGCGAACGGGUGAGUAACACGUGGGUGAUCUGCCCUGCACUUCGGGAUAAGCCUGGGAAACUGGGUCUAAUACCGGAUAGGAGCCAUUUUUAGUGUGAUGGUUGGAAAGUUUUUUCGGUGUAGGAUGAGCUCGCGGCCUAUCAGCUUGUUGGUGGGGUAAUGGCCUACCAAGGCGGCGACGGGUAGCCGGCCUGAGAGGGUGGACGGCCACAUUGGGACUGAGAUACGGCCCAGACUCCUACGGGAGGCAGCAGUGGGGAAUAUUGCACAAUGGGCGCAAGCCUGAUGCAGCGACGCCGCGUGGGGGAUGACGGCCUUCGGGUUGUAAACUCCUUUCGCUAGGGACGAAGCUUUUUGUGACGGUACCUAGAUAAGAAGCACCGGCUAACUACGUGCCAGCAGCCGCGGUAAUACGUAGGGUGCGAGCGUUGUCCGGAACUACUGGGCGUAAAGGGCUCGUAGGUGGUUUGUCGCGUCGUCUGUGAAAUUCCGGGGCUUAACUCCGGGCGUGCAGGCGAUACGGGCAUAACUUGAGUACUGUAGGGGUAACUGGAAUUCCUGGUGUAGCGGUGAAAUGCGCAGAUAUCAGGAGGAACACCGAUGGCGAAGGCAGGUUACUGGGCAGUUACUGACGCUGAGGAGCG